AAUUAAAAUUAUAUCUGUAAUAAAAUUAAAACUAAUUGUUAUCAAAAUUAAUUGUUAUUAAAAUUGUAUCAAAUUAUAUAUAUUUUUUGUCAACAUUUUGUUAAUAAAAUUUUUAAUUGUUAAUUAUAUUAAUUGUUACUAAAAAAAUCAAAUUAUAUUAAAUUAUUUUAUCAAAUUAUUUGCUUUCAUUUCUAUUAUUCGGCUGAAAAUUGAAAUUCAUUGCAUGUUCACCAUCCUGUUCACUGGACAUUGAAUCACUUGGGUCUCUUUCUAUUAAACACACCAUCCUAUUCACUGGACAUUGAAUCACUUGGGUCUCUUUCUAUUAAACAAUUAAAAG
rnacentral:lncRNA from 1 species